rnacentral:rRNA from 1 species
CCUACGGGAGGCAGCAGUGGGGAAUAUUGCACAAUGGGGGAAACCCUGAUGCAGCAACGCCGCGUGGGUGAAGGAGCGUUUCGGUGCGUAAAGCCCUGUCAGCGGGGAAGAAGAAAGACGGUACCCGCCCAAGAAGCCCCGGCUAACUACGUCCCAGCAGCCGCGGUAAUAAGUAGGGGGCGUGCGUUAUCCGGAUUUACGGGUUGUAAAGGGAGCGUAGACGCAGCGGUAAGCCUGGAGUGGAUGCCAGCGGCGCAACCUCGGAACUGCUUUGGAAACUGUUUAGUUGGAGUAUGGGAGGGGUAAGCGGAAUUGCUGGUGUAGCGGUGAAAUGCGUAGAUAUCAGGAGGAACACCAGUGGCGAAGGCGGCUUACUGGACCGUAACUGACGUUGAGGCUCGAAAGCGUGGGGAGCGAACAGGAUUAGAUACCCCGGUAGUC